GCACUGAACUGGGAGAUCAGGAAGGGUUAGUUCUGGUUCUGGUUCUGCUGUUGCCAAGCAGAGGGAGUCGUGGGGCUCCCACUUCCUUCCUGGUAAACAAUAUCAGGGUGGGACCAGGUCCCAGCUGCUCGUCUGCAGAGCCAGUACUUCAUGAUUCCACAGACCGGUCACAUACCCUGAGGUCCCAUUCCAGACCACUGUUCUGAACUCCGCAGCUACCUCAUCGCCCUGCUUUCACACAAUGGAAGUAUGAACAUCACUGAAUUCCAGGAUCAGAUCAAAACCAGAAGUUGUGCUGCAUUAAGGAAGACACUGGCCCAAGGCCUACAAGGAAAAAUAGGAUUAUGGCUCAAGUCGUCUGAAAGCCUUCCCAGGAAACUGUGUCCCAAAGAGAAGACUCCAUAGGAAGAACAUCAGAGAAGGAAGUUACUUGUCUGUCUUUGGUAACAUUCAUCCAAAACAGGUUUUGUUCUCUCUCAGUGGACAAGACUCCUCAACUAAUAGAGCAAAUUCAUUUACAAGGGAGUAAUAAAUGAAAAAUAAACAUGUUAUUUAGUUU